UACUUAUUAUUGUUUUCGAAAUUGAAAUAAUAUAUUAUGUACCUACCACAUACAAGGAACUAAGAAGUGGAGCCAGUGUAUUGACAAUUUUUCAGACGUUGACUUUCUUGAAGAUAAUUCUACAGACUCAGAUGAAGCCAUAUAAUAUUGGAGCGAAUUGUGAAACUUAAAGGUAAUACAAUUUUGCUGAGCAAGAAUUAAAUUUUAAUAAAGCAGAGAGCCUCAAAGAAACACAUAACUACUAUGGGCAUUGGUAUCUUUCUUAAAGGGAAAGUGCAUCUAGUUGGAUGCGUUAAACAGGUCGUCAAACCCGUUCCCAUUUACAACGAGGAAAUACAAUCUUCAUUGUAAAAAAGAGUAUGCAAUUACCAAAAAGAUUCAGUGGUUGUUAUUAAAAUACUUCAACUAUCGACAAUGGACAUAAUUGAUGAAGACUUAUAUUAUAUUGUGAUAGGUACCUAUUUCCUUUAAUUUGUGUACUUAUUUUUCCUAUGUUUCCCCCACCACCCAUCAGAAAGUAAUUAGUUACUUUAUUUAACCAAAAAAAAACUAUACCUAUACACUGUGCAGUUAUGUUUGUGAAUAAAAUUAUUUUGUCAAUGACCAAUUUAUGAAAACUCUAUUUUCAAAUUGUAUAACAAAAAAGAAAAGUAGGUAGGUUACGUUAGCUUUGUACCUGUUUAAAAUCAUUAUAAGUUAUACUAUCAUACUUUUCAUAUUUGUCGU